rnacentral:rRNA from 1 species
CACGUAGGCACCAAGCGUUGUCCGGAUUUAUUGGGCGUAAAGAGCUCGUAGGCGGUUCGGUAAGUCGGGUGUGAAAACUUUGGGCUCAACCCAAAGCGUGCACUCGAUACUGCCGUGACUAGAGUUCGGUAGGGGAGCGGGGAAUUCCUAGUGUAGCGGUGAAAUGCGCAGAUAUUAGGAGGAACACCGGUGGCGAAGGCGGUUCUCUGGGCCGGUACUGACGCUGAGGAGCGAAAGCGUGGGUAGCAAACAGG